AGAUAAAUUCCAUUCCAUGGCCUCUGUGCAGACCCUCUGGAGCCUCAGGACCUGCGACGGAUUCCCAAAAGUACGAAAUGUUAUUCAACCAAGAUGAGACAAAGUGAAAGUGAAUGGGGUAGAUAUCAUUUCUCCUGUGAGAACCAACAUGUCCCUGAAAAGACAGCUCUGUGCGUCCGCUGGCUCAUUCCAUGAGUACCUGAGAAAGUGCAUCUGGUGACUUGUCCUAGGGCAGAGGCUGAGCACACAGAGAAGCCACGGCAGUCUUUGACCUUGAGCAUGCAGUGAAGGACAGAAUGGCAGAGUGCUGUGGGAACCCAGAGGUAGGGUGAAGAGAAAGGCUGCGGAAGUCAGAGGUGGAAAAUCAGGGCAUCAGAAAGGCAGAUUGUUGGGCACAAGAAUGAAUCAAUUUGAAUAGAGGCCAUUUGAAAUGAAUAGAGGGAU
rnacentral:lncRNA from 1 species